rnacentral:ncRNA from 1 species
UACUUAUGAAGAGAGGCGGAGGGACUGGCCCUAUGAAGCCCGGCAGCGGAUCUGCGCGUUUAGCGAUGCAGAUGCUGUGCCAAUUCCAGCAGGAUAAUUCCUGACAGAUAAGGA